CCUUCUCUUUUCUUCCAUCAUUUUCUUCCUCUCUCUCUCUUUCUCAUUUAUUCCAUCAUUUUCUCUCUCUUUCAUUAUCUUUGUUCUUUUUUAAAUUUCAAUUAUUUUAAUGUUUAAAGUUAUUUUGAAGAUUAACAUUUUAUUUUAAAAAAAAUAUGGACAUCAUUAAUAAAAUAAAUAAAUAAAAAUUAUAUUUGUAAUACAAUUUGAAUUUAAUACAUUAUACAUAUUCUAUGCCUUUUUCAAUGCACAUUAUGAGUCUAUAACUAAAAUAUUUUUAAUAUAAUAAUAUAUUUU
rnacentral:lncRNA from 1 species